rnacentral:rRNA from 1 species
UACGUAGGGGGCGAGCGUUGUCCGAAGUUACUGGGCGUAAAGAGCUCGUAGGCGGUCUGUUGCGUCGGCUGUGAAAACCCGGGGCUCAACCCCGGGCCUGCAGCCGAUACGGGCAGACUAGAGUUCGGCAGGGGAGACUGGAAUUCCUGGUGUAGCGGUGAAAUGCGCAGAUAUCAGGAGGAACACCGGUGGCGAAGGCGGGUCUCUGGGCCGAUACUGACGCUGAGGAGCGAAAGCGUGGGGAGCGAACAGG